rnacentral:misc_RNA from 1 species
GAUGAAGAACGCAGCGAAAUGCGAUACUUGGUGUGAAUUGCAGAAUCCCGUGAACCAUCGAGUCUUUGAACGCAAGUUGCGCCCGAAGCCAUCAGGUUGAGGGCACGUCUGCCUGGGCGUCACAUAUUGUUGCCCAAUGCCUAUUGCAGUGCAAUAGGAAUUUCUAGGGCGAAUGAUGGCUUCCCGUGAGCGUUGUUGCCUCGCGGUUGGUUGAAAAUCGAGUCCUUGGUAGGGUGUGCCAUGGUAGAUGGUGGUCGAGUUAGAACGAUACCGAUCAUGUGCAUGCUCCCCAAAAUAUGGCCUCUAUGACCCACACGCGUCUUUUGACGCUCAUGACGAGACCUCAGGUCAGGCGGGGCUACCCGCUGAAUUUAAGCAUAUCAAUAAGCGGAGGA